rnacentral:lncRNA from 1 species
GUUAAUUAGUUUUAAAUUAAUUAGACUCUAAUAGCUUUUGCAUGUUAAAAUCAGAUUUUAAUAAGUUUAGCAUGUUUAAUUAGUCAGAUGUUAACAAUUCCUUGUCUGUUAAUAAUUUUUCAGCAUGUCUUAUCACUUAGAAAUCAUGCCUAUAGAUUGUUUUGGAUUAUUAUCUUUAUAUAAAAAGUAUGCCUAUAGGUUCAGCAUUUUAAUUUCAGCAUAUUCGUUUAGAAAUCAUGUUUAUAGGAUCAAUUAAUAAGAUUAUUUUUAAAGAAUAAAACAGUUUGCUAAAAUUGUAAUUUAAUAAAAAAUAAAUUGGCAUGUUAAAUAACUGAAAUAAAAUUUAUUAUGCAUGUUUUUCUGCCACUUAGACUAAUAAUAAUUUCCAGCAUGCUCUAAAAUAACAAUUUGUGAGUUCUGACACAUUCUUCCUGCAUAUUUAAAAAGAAAAGUGCUGAGCCCCCAUAUUAUGAAUUAUCUACUACUGUUCUUAUGACAUUGUUUUCAACAUUUUAAAGUAAAAAAAAUAAGAAUAAAAUUAAUAGUCUGUUUAAAUUAUUCUCUGCAUCUGCUUUAAUAAUUUGCUAAAUUAAGUAAAUCUGCUUUAAGUACCAUGCAUGCAUUAAAAUCUACUCUAAAUACUAGUUGUCUGAUUAAAUCCGACUCAUUAUUUCUGCAUGCUGAAUAAUUAUCUGGCCACUCAAAAUCAAUCUAAAAUCUGCUUCCUAUGUUAAUUUGCUACCACAUUUAAAAUCAGUAAUAAUAAUUAUUUGCAAGCUGUUUAAACUGUCUGUUUAAUAUUGCUUAUUCAACUAAUUUCUCAUGUUUUAAAUAUUCUGCCCUAAUCCAAAUCUGCUCUAGAUAUUAACUUCUGCAUUAUCGAAUUGCUUUGCCACAUGGAAUAAACAUUUUAGCAUUAAUAAUUUGCCAUUGCUUUCAAAUAUUUUGGCCCAUUUGCAUUAUUAUAAAGUGCCCACUUUAAAUUAAUUACCAAUUAGUCAGUCUAAUAAGCUUUACCUGACUUGUAAUAUCUUUGCCCAUUUAAAGUUAAACUAUAUGUGUUUGCUCGUCUAUGCACACACUUAAGCAUGAGAUCCUUUCACCAUUAUAUGUGUUUGAAAGUAUGUUUAAUAAAACCUAGAGGCCAAUUUGAGACUUUACAUGCUAAAUGAAUGUCCUAUUUGUUUGACUUGGUGUCUAGGUGGGCCUAUUAGGAGUUUAUUUUAGUUUAAACCCUUUCUAAUAGUAGUUGGAUGCCUCUUGGACCUUAAGCAGGGACGGUAGGCACGUUGUAGAGACGAAAAGCAUGUGGUGGUAGGGUAGGGAUAGUUUAGGCCCUACGGAGAUGAUGACAUCGACUCAGGCUCAAAGAGACAAACCUUGGUUUCGUCUGUCCCUACACGGAAGCCUAUCAAAAAAAUAAAAUAAAGAAAAGUCGAGUGCUGAUCCACAAAGUCCUUCAGAGUCUCCCUUUCUUUUGUCUCUUUAUUUGUUUAUAAUUAUAUUUAUUUGGAGUAGUUUAAUUAAAUAAAAAAAAUGAUAUUUGCUUAUAUUUGUCUACCUUCUAUCUUCUCGCUAUUUCUUUUAAAUUCUGUUUGCAUUAAUUAUUUAGUAUUAUGUAUUCACCUAGUUUCGCAUGCUUAAUUAAUAAAAAUAAAUAAAUAAAUUGAUCUUAAUUGUUUAAUAUUAGUUAUCACUUAGCAAGCAUGUUUAAAUACUAAUAAAUGAAGUGACCUUAAAUGCUACUUGUAACCCCCCCACAUAAAUUGCAUGAGACACGACCGGGACCCACAUUUGUGGACCUUGAGGGAUGCCUAACACCUUCCCUUCGAGGUAACUUGAACCCUUACCCUGAUCUCUAGUUCGUUGACCUUAGCUAGAAUAAGUUAGGUUAGAUAGAUGCCCUAACGCGCCUUAAUUCGUUAGGUGGCGACUCUUCAAUUUCCAAAGCCCAAAAAAGUUGUUAGGUCGUGCAUCAAAACUCGUUUUGAGAAAAACGGGGCGCGACACACCAUCACUAUUUUUAUUUCCUCGUCCAACCUCCACAGUAACAACAACCUAAGCCACUUAACAACCAGAUCUGGCCAAACUUUUCGCAAUUCAACGCCGACUAUACUAUUUUCACACCCCAAAUUGCUUACAAAUACAAUUUCACACCAACCUCUGCCGUGAAACUCGUCGAAAUCUACCCAAAAUUCGCCUGAGAUUUUCUUGGGUUAUCGAAACGGGUUGAAAAAGACAAGUUUAAGGGAUUAGAAGGAGACGAUUGCUGUGAAAGAUUGAAGAUGGGGACAUGCAAACUCCCCUCUCCAUCCUCUCC